rnacentral:lncRNA from 1 species
AUCAUGAUUAUUAGCUGUUAUUUAAUAAAGCUUCUAAGAUAUAGUGCAAUGGGAAUUUUUAAGCAUUUUGGUUGGUAAUGGUUAAAAAUUGAAAAAAAACAGGGUUGCUGAAACAUGGGUUUGUUAUAUGGGGUUAAAAAAUGUUUAAAGGUUGUUCCUAAACUAUAUAUACAAGUCUUCCAAGAUGCUUUUCUAAAAAAAAUGGUGUUGGUUUAGAAAUAGUUAUAAAGGGUAAUAUUAGUCAGUUAAAAGUGUGGUGUAAGUAUAUGGAAAUGUUGUAUAAAUGGUAUUUAUAAAUAGUUUUAUGAGCUCCCUAAAAUUUUUAUUACGAUUCAUUCAAACUAUUGUGCAACUUCUAUUUAGUUUUUUCAGGAGAAUCACUUUUUGGGUUUCCCUUGGCAAGUCAUGAGGGGGGUAGGACCUUAAUCGAGACACCGGGAUCAGUAUUUUUAAGCCCGGAAUUUAAGGAUUGAUCCUUUUGGGAUCCGGGAAUUCUUUUUUUCGAAUUUCAGGAUGUCGGGAUUUAAAUUUCUUUAAAUUUGGUCUGCUUUCAUGUUUUUAAGCCCAGGAUUUCGGGAUCAUGACCCCUCCUACCCCCACCCCCCUCUGUCAUGGUCUUUGCAAGAGACUAGGGAAAUCUUUUUGUGAUCUCUGACAGUAACUUUUGUUUUAGUAUCUAGAUAACCAUGAAUUGGAAACUGUGUUAAAAGCAGUUGUUACGUGCCUUCUAAUUUAUGCAAUUUUUAUUUAAUUAUUUAUAAAUCUAAACAUUUUAUUUAA